rnacentral:rRNA from 1 species
GAUGAACGCUGACAGAAUGCUUAACACAUGCAAGUCAACUUGAAUUUGGGUUUUUUAACUUCGAUUUGGGUGGCGGACGGGUGAGUAACGCGUAAAGAACUUGCCUCACAGCUAGGGACAACAUUUGGAAACGAAUGCUAAUACCUGAUAUUAUGAUUAUAAGGCAUCUUAGAAUUAUGAAAGCUAUAUGCGCUGUGAGAGAGCUUUGCGUCCCAUUAGCUAGUUGGAGAGGUAACGGCUCACCAAGGCGAUGAUGGGUAGCCGGCCUGAGAGGGUGAACGGCCACAAGGGGACUGAGACACGGCCCUUACUCCUACGGGAGGCAGCAGUGGAGAAUAUUGGACAAUGGACCAAGAGACUGAUCCAGCAAUUCUGUGUGCACGAUGACGUUUUUCGGAAUGUAAAGUGCUUUCAGUUGGGAAGAAAAAAAUGACGGUACCAACAGAAGAAGUGACGGCUAAAUACGUG